AGUCACUGACAUUAGAUACCCGGGUAGUCCAGGGUGUAAACACUGCAGACUUGGUGUUGGAGGCCCUUUGGGGGCAUUCAGUGCCGGAGAGAAGUUGUUAAGUCUGCUACUUGGGGAGUACGUCCGCAAGGAUGAAACUUAAAGGAAUUGGCGGGGGAGCACCGCAACGGGAGGAGCGUGCGGUUUAAUUGGAUUCAACACCGUAAAACUCACCAGGGAAGACUGUUACAUGAAGGCCGAGAUGAAGACUCUGCUAGAUUUUCAG
rnacentral:rRNA from 1 species